rnacentral:rRNA from 1 species
GAUCAUGGCUCAGAAUGAACGCUGGCGGCAUGCCUAACACAUGCAAGUCGAAUGAGAUCUUCGGAUCUAGUGGCGCACGGGUGAGUAACGCGUGGGAACCUACCUUUUAGUACGGGACAACGUUUGGAAACGAACGCUAAUACCGUAUACGCCCUCCGGGGGAAAGGUCAGCCGCUAAAAGAGGGGCCCGCGUCUGAUUAGCUUGUUGGUAAGGUAAUGGCUUACCAAGGCUACGAUCAGUAGCUGGUCUGAGAGGAUGAUCAGCCACACUGGGACUGAGACACGGCCCAGACUCCUACGGGAGGCAGCAGUGGGGAAUAUUGGACAAUGGAGGCAACUCUGAUCCAGCAAUGCCGCGUGUGUGAUGAAGGCCUUAGGGUUGUAAAGCACUUUCAACGGUGAAGAUGAUGACGGUAGCCGUAGAAGAAGCCCCGGCUAACUUCGUGCCAGCAGCCGCGGUAAUACGAAGGGGGCGAGCGUUAUUCGGAAUUAUUGGGCGUAAAGGGCUCGCAGGCUGCUUGAACAGUUAGACGUGAAAUCCCCGGGCUCAACCUGGGAACUGCGUUUAAUACUAGCAAGCUAGAGAAAUAGAGAGGAAAGUGGAACUCCCAGUGUAGAGGUGAAAUUCGUAGAUAUUGGGAAGAACACCAGUGGCGAAAGCGACUUUCUGGCUAUUUUCUGACGCUGAGGAGCGAAAGCGUGGGGAGCAAACAGGAUUAGAUACCCUGGUAGUCCACGCCGUAAACGAUGUGUGCUAGAUGUUGGAGGGAUACCUUUCAGUGUCGCAGCUAACGCACUAAGCACACCGCCUGGGAAGUACGGUCGCAAGAUUAAAACUCAAAGGAAUUGACGGGGGCCCGCCACAAGCGGUGGAGCAUGUGGUUUAAUUCGACGCAACGCGCAGAACCUUACCAGCCCUUGACAUGUGGAGUUUGGUUAUCAGAGAUGAUUUCCUUCAGUUCGGCUGGCUCCAACACAGGUGCUGCAUGGCUGUCGUCAGCUCGUGUCGUGAGAUGUUGGGUUAAGUCCCGCAACGAGCGCAACCCUCAUCUUUAGUUGCCAUCAGUUCGGCUGGGCACUCUAGAGAAACUGCCUGGGAUGACCAGGAGGAAGGCGAGGAUGACGUCAAGUCCUCAUGGCCCUUAUGGGCUGGGCUACACACGUGCUACAAUGGCGGUGACAAAGGGACGCAAUAGGGCAACCUGGAGCAAAUCCCUAAAAACCGUCUCAGUUCGGAUUGUUCUCUGCAACUCGAGAGCAUGAAGUUGGAAUCGCUAGUAAUCGUAGAUCAGCAUGCUACGGUGAAUACGUUCCCGGGCCUUGUACACACCGCCCGUCACACCAUGGGAGUUGGUUUUACCCGAAGACGGUAUCCUAACCUUUUAGGAGGGAGCCGGCCACGGUAGGGUCAGCGACUGGGGUGAAGUCGUAACAAGGUA